rnacentral:rRNA from 1 species
UACAGAGGUCUCAAGCGUUGUUCGGAUUCAUUGGGCGUAAAGGGUGCGUAGGCGGCGCGGUAAGUCGGGUGUGAAAUCUCGGAGCUUAACUCCGAAACUGCAUUCGAUACUGCCGUGCUUGAGGACUUGAGAGGAGACUGGAAUUUACGGUGUAGCGGUGAAAUGCGUAGAUAUCGUAAGGAAGACCAGUGGCGAAGGCGGGUCUCUGGACAGUUCCUGACGCUGAGGCACGAAGGCCAGGGGAGCAAACGGG